rnacentral:rRNA from 2 species
AGGUGCGAUCAUACCAGCACUAAUGCACUGGAUCCCAUCAAAAUUCCACAGUUAAGCGUGCUUGGGCGAGAGUAGUACUAGGAUGGGUAACCUCCUGGGAAGUCCUCGUGUUGCACCUC